rnacentral:lncRNA from 1 species
UUCUUGUCCUAUCAGACUCCCAGAUCUCUGUCUGCUGCAGGGUCUAUUGGAAGCGAGAGUGAUAAGAGUCUUUUUUUCUCUUUCUAAAUUUAUAUUAGCAGGAGAAAAUAUUUGUGAAACUAGUUUCUUGAACUUUAGCAACUCUGGUGAAUUUGGUAAAGUACUCUUGAUCCAUUUCCUCCCAGAGACAGUCAUUGUUUUUCUGUCUAUUGUGUCGUUUGUCUUAAGAAGGAAAUUCCAUCGGCAGAGAGUUCAUGGCUUCUGCCUUUUGGAAAGAUUUCCCUGUUUAAGCCAACUCACCAUGUGAGGUUUUUCCUUCCAUCUUGUUAUAUGUCCUGAAAGCUUGGUAUUUUAAGCAAUGAGAAAAUUCUCUCCAGGCUCCACCAAUCCAGAAGGUGUAUUUACCGGGGCAUAUCUGAUGGCUAGUAGAAUAGAUUGGGGUUCUGAGUCUCUUUGUCCAGCUGUGCCAGCUCUCAAGGGGCUUUGUCACAAGAGGUCCUUCUUUCUUAAGACUAUCUUUGGGAGUAAACCUUUUGGAACUUAGGAGGACUGCAUCCUUUGCACUCUCCUUUGGGGCCAUGGUUAAGACAUAACAGGGCUUAUUGGUUUGAGUCACUAUCACGAUCCUACUCAUCAAUGGCCAGAUGGUGGAUCCUUUGAAUUGGAAAAACUUCUAAAUUGGAAAAAUAACUUUUAGAGAGCUCUCAUAUUUGCAUAAUGACUAGCCAUUAAGACUCCCUAACAAGAUGAGAGAACAGAAAAUUAGACUUAAAACAAAAAUCUAACGUAAAACCCCCUUCUUAAAAUCUGGCCCCAUCUGACAGUUUUAACUUCCUUUUUCACAUGAGAUUACAGAGUCCACACCAGCCUAAUCCCUAAGAGUAUACAGGUUACUCAUGUAAAUGCUGAGAGCCAGAAAAUGAAUUCAGCAGAAGCACCUGGAACAGGCAGUAGGGCUCACGUUACUGGGCGCUAUCAUCAGGCUCUGAUAGCUUCAGGCCCAUUUGUGCAAUAUCUUUUGUGGACAUAUCCUAGACUUACCCAUGGAAUUCUUGUCCCUGGGACAACAACAGAUCUUUGGAUUAUAAAGCCUUUUUACUUUCACUUUCAGAAGAUCCUACCAAACGUAGAAAAGAAUUAGAAAUAUCAAUGGCCAUUCUGUAGUGCCCCAUUAAGAGAGGAAAAUAAAAUUGCACAUUGUCUCUUCCUUUCCAAACCCAGACCCAUUGAUUAUUGACCCUUUCUCUCCCAAGGAUAGCUGUUGCCUUCUUGCUUGUCUGGUUUUGUGUCCUAAGGGCUUGGCUUGGCCUUCCACAUACCUGGGACAUGCUGGCUGGCGGUUCUUUCUUUUGGCUGUCUUUGGACGUGACUCCGAAUCUUAGGAAGGUUUACUAAAAGCCAAACAAAUUCAUGUUACCUCUGUUACAAAAUUUGGCAGCAAAGAAGAAAUUUGAUGGCUGACUUUGUCUAAUGUCUCAUGACGUUUUUAACUGUCUCCGGUGCUUUGUGUUAAAAGCUGAAACUUUUCUACUAAAGGAGCUGAAGUUUUGCAGCUAUGUAACCCUCUAUAUUCAUCUUUGAAAUCUUUUUGUCACUUUGGUUAAAUAGAUAACUAAAUAUUGUUUCAUAAUGAUCUCUGAUCCUAAUUUAGGCAAGUUUUUUUUUAAAGAUUUUAUUUUUUUCCUUUUUCUCCCCAAAGCCCCCCGGUACAUAGUUGUGUAUUCUUCGUUGUGGGUUCUUCUAGUUGUGGCAUGUGGGACGCUGCCUCAGCGUGGUCUGAUGAGCAGUGCCAUGUCCGCGCCCAGGAUUCGAACUAACGAAACACUGGGCCACCUGCAGCGGAGCACGCGAACUUAACCACUUGGCCACGGGGCCAGCCCCUAGGUAACUUCAGGAUUUGUCAGAGGAUCCUUGAAACAUCUCAAAAGAUUUGUUCUUGAGCCAGCCCUGAUGGCCCAGUGGUUAAAUUCAGUGCCAUCACCACUUUGGCAGUCCAGGAUCAUUUCCAAGUCUUGGAACCACACCACCCGUCUGUCUGUGCCAUACUACAAUGGUGGCUCACACAGAAGAACUAGAAGGAUUUAUGGUUAGGAUAUACAAUCAUGUAACUGGGGCUUUGGGGAGGAAAAAAAAGGAAAGGGAGGUUGGCAACAGAUGUUAGGUCAGGGAAAAUCUUUCCCUAAAAAAAAUAAAUAAAUAAAAGAUUUGUUCUCUCUCCUUAUAAAAAAAAGGGAAAUAUUAAGCUAAUUAGGUUUAUUUGAUAUGUUAAAUUACAUGAGAACCAUUGUUAAAUAAGAAAUAACAUUAAGCCUUCUUUAUUUUGUAUCUGUAUAUGUUAUAGGAGUUUCAGAAAUUAUGUGAAAUUCCUGGAAAUCUAAUAUGUAAUGUGUAAAAUGUUGUCUGUCAUCAAAACUGAGGGUUACACUGAAUAACAGGAAAGUGCCUUAGCUGAAGUUCAUGCAAAGGCAGUAAGGACAGAAUCUGUAAUGGUUAUGACACAUGUGGAUGAAGUCCAUUCUGUUUCCUCUCACCAAAAAAAAAAAAAUUGAGCUUCACUGCCAGACUUUGGCCUUCCUGAUGUCUUUGUAACAUAGCAACAGUACGUUCUUGAAUAACAAAAAUUAAGAUGAGUAAACAGUAGUUGUCGAUUAAACAAAUAGUUGGGGCUGUAGGAAACCAAACACGGCUGCUUGAUUCUUCCCAGUUCCCCGGAAAGCCCCAUUUUUUGGCUUUUACAUUCCUUCACCCACUAAAGGAAAGACUGUUUCUGCCCCCAGAGGCCUCCGAACUCCUCGCUCUGGGCCCUUUGAGCACCUGCAGCUGGACUUCAUUCUCCUGCCACUUAGUACGGGUUAUCAAUAUGUUCUUGUUAUCGUAUGUAUGUUUUCCAGGUGGAUUGAAGCCUUCCCUUGCCACAAAGCUGAUGCCUCACAAUGGCAAAGAAGCCUGUUAGAAAAUGUGUUUCCCAUUUGGGGUAUACCUUCCACAAUCUCCAGUGAUCGAGGGACCCACUUCACUAGGCAAAUCAUAUGAGUCUCAGUGAAAACCUUGCCACCUUCUUGGAGUUAGCACUAUUCCUAUCACUCUCAAUCAUCACACAAAGUCAAAAGACCUAAAGGAAAACUAGAUUCAAGAAGAACAAGAAUUAAUACAUAGGACUGAAUGAACUGAUAAAUAUGGUUAUAAUUUUUAUGACUUUUGGUCUAAAAGAUUACUAUUUUUUAAUCCUUUGUUUUCCAGACAUAAGAAAAUUUUUUUUCUCAUAAGCCAACUAUGACUACAGCAAUUGGUAAAUUAUGUGUUUGUAAACAUAAUUGAAACAUUUAUCUUUUUCUUCCUACCUUAUUCCUCCAGGAUUCAGAAAUUUAGUGAGUAUUCUUAUUUUCAUGGCAAUAUAAUUAUUUGGAUAAGUUCAACAGAAUCUGUUCUCCUUGUAGCAGGACACAAGUGCAAACUGGUUCUAUUACCAAGGCUUUGACUUGAAUGUCAUAUUUGAGAGAGAAUGUGCAUGGACUCAGGUAUGACCAGAUAGCUUUAAGGAAUCAAGGUGGACUGUAUGGAGCAAAUAAAGCACCUUGGAAGUAUUGGCUUGGUAUCUUGCUUAUAGUGUUCCCCGCAGCCUUACCAGGUGAGUAAGGAAGGUCACUUCAUGGCAGGUGCAGGAACCUCAGGAUAUCUUGGAACAUCGAGAAGAGAAGAACUCACCCAAAUCUAUAGGUAUGGCAGGCAAGUCUGAUGGCAAGUCCUUGGCUUGGUUUCCUGGCCUCAAGAGGCCUUUAAAAGUUCAAUUGGAAAUUCCUUGUGAAAGAUUCUAGCAAAGCAGAUUUAAAUGAUCCUAUGUGAUCAAUCACUAUUCUUGCUGCACUUAAGAAAAUAACAGGGGCAAGCUUGGUGGCACAGCAGUUAAGUGCACACGUUCCACUUUGGCGGCCUGGGGUUUGCUGGUUCAGAUCCCAGGUGCGGACAUGGCACUGCUUGGCAAGCCAUGCUGUGGCAGGAGUCCCGCAUAGAAAAUAGAGGAAGAUGGGCAUGGAUGUUAGCUCAGGGCCAGUCUUCCUCAGCAAAAAAAAAAAAAAAAGAGGAGGAUGGGCAGCAGAUGUUAGCUCAGGGCUAAUCUUCCUAAAAAACAAAAUAGAAAAAGAAAAUAGACCAAGUUUCUUGAGACCAGACAUUUUACAAACAAAUUAAUUUCACUGCGAUGAUCUUUGAUAGAAAUGGAUGUGAUUUUUUUUUUUUUUUUAAGAUUUUAUUUUUUCCUUUUUCUCCCCAAAGCCCCCCGGUACAUAGUUGUGUAUUCUUCGUUGUGGGUUCUUCUAGUUGUGGCAUGUGGGACGCUGCCUCAGCGUGGUCUGAUGAGCAGUGCCAUGUCCGCGCCCAGGAUUCGAACUAACGAAACACUGGGCCGCCUGCAGCGGAGAGCGCGAACUUAACCACUCGGCCACGGGGCCAGCCCCCGAAAUGGAUGUGAUUUUAGAGAGAAGAAUUAUGUUUCAAUAAAAACAUCUUUGUGGAUAUUAGAUUCUAAUGCUGGUCAUUGUCUUUCAAGGUUUUGUUUACAAUCUGCUAACUGGACUGGAUCCUGAAUUCUUCUCCCUUCUUCCAGUCUUGGCUACAACCUUCCAAACUAACAUAUCCAAUUUUCUCUCACCUUUGGACUUGGAAUCAUUGAGAACUACAUCUGCCCUUUUUCUUUUUCUUUCUUUUUGUUUAAUUAAUUUUUGUUGUUGUUGAGGAAGAGUGGCCCUGAGCUAACAUCCAUGCCCACCUUCCUCAACUUUAUAUGUGGGAUGCCUGCCACAGCAUGGCUUAACAAGCUGUGCAUAGGUCUGCACCCGGGAUCCGAACCAGCAAACCUCAGGUCGUCAAAGUGGAACGUGCGAACUUAACCACUGCACCACCAGGCUGGCCCCUGCUCUUUUUCUUGAAUCCCUGAAAACUGAAGCCCAACAACUUGACAUAAAUUUCAGAGAAAUCAUCACAAUGGCUUGCAUAUGGACAAUCUCCAUACCUGUUGCUUCAUGGGCCACUCAGAAAGAUCAUCAGAGACACUCAAACUGAAAACUAGGAAAAUCUGUCAGAUUGCUCUUGUUUGCCCUCAUUUCAUCUGAAAAUGCUUGGAACCAGACAUCUAGAACUCUCCUCAACUGACUGCCUUCAGAAUGCAGAAACUGGGAUUAUAGUCUGCUCCAGUCACUAACCAUUGUUUUUCUGUUGUUUCCAUAGAAAUGCUUCUUAUUAAAUACCUCAUUGCUUGCACCACAGGCCUCAUGUUGGGAGCCCACCUGCAUCACUGCCUCCUGAAAUUGGACACAAGUGUUUAAUUGGACUAAACGCCCCCCUAAACUGAGAGACUGGUUCAGUGAGAUGGAGCAAUCCACCAACCCCACUUGUAGAAUGUGAAACUUCUCAUGAAAUUUCAACAGUGGGACUGAAGGGGUUCAGAACAGGCCUCCCCCGGAUGCGUCACUUUGGCAUGUGGAACGUUUUGAGCUAAAGGAUGAAAAGAGUUCUGGAGAUUCGUUGCACAACAACGUGAGCGUACUUAACACCACUGAACUGCACGCUUAAAAACGGUUAACAUGAGAACAAACAGCUACACCUGUGACUCAGCCCUAAACUCCUCUUACGGGAGACGCUCCGGACACAGAAAAGGGCUGUGGUGCCGCCGCUUCAGCCUCACGGCCAUCACGGUGGCUAGAUUGGAGGAUUAAUGUCAGUUAUGCACGGAGAGGGCGAAAAUGAGCCUCAGCAGGGAGACCUGGGGAACACAGAGCCACGCCUACUGUCCAGCCUGCAGGUGAACUGGACCUCCUGGAUCAACCUCAGCAAAGGGACAGGACGUGAAGCCCCCAGCUUACCUCUGAACCUCUCCGUCUCCUCUGAGCCCAAACUACUGCUCCACAGAGUGAGCUCAAAGGGCUCACUUCCAACUUUCCUCGGUUGGAGGCAAAUGCAAUAAAAAUGUGCAGUCUGUGCCCCUCUCCACACCCACUUACACCCUUUGACAGCUGCACUCACCAGAUUCCAGUGC